rnacentral:rRNA from 1 species
CCCUUAGAUGUUCUGGGCUGCACGCGUGUUACAAUCGGGAGUACAACAAGAUUGCAAAUCCUAGUGGAUGAGUGGUUCUUCGAAAUUUUCUGAAGACUGGGAUAGUUGAUUGAAAUUAUUCAACUCGAACGAGGAAUUCCUUGUAAUUGUAAUUCAUUAUAUUGUAAUGAAUACGUCCCUGCCCUUUGUACACACCGCCCGUCGCACCUACCGAUUGAAUGGUCCGGUGAAAUCUCCGGACUGGCGUGAGUCGGAGCAAUCUGACAAACACCGGAAAGUUGAUUAAACCUUACCAUUUAGAGGAAGGUGAAGUCGUAACA